AAAUUUUGUAUUUUGAAGGGCUAAAAUAAUAACUAAUAAACCUUUGCAAAACCCUGGAGUUUGGACCUUACCCUCUGUGACCCCGAGGUUUCCUCUCUUCCACCGCCACCAAGCUGAAAACACAGACACUGCAAAACGGGAAAGGGAAAAAAGACAAGUUAAGGAGGAAAGCAUGAAACUUUAUUAACAAAAGAGCAAAGGAAAUGAAGGAAUAGAAGGUGGGAGAUGAAGAGCUUUUUGUCACUAUCUACUUCUUCUGCUACAGCUUUCCAUUUUUGUCAUCUGAAGGCUAAGGUACAUUGCAAAGACAUUAUAUGGUGAUGAUGAGGAAGAAGAAACUCUUCAAGAUACUAAUGAUACUAAUGUUGAUGAAAUAAGACUGCUUGAUGUUCAUUCAACUUCCGAUGAGAAGGUUCUUUUGAAAAAAGGUCCAUAUGGAUUCUAUGUACAGCUUGGUGAAGAGAGGACAGAUAAAAGAUGUGGAUGCUAUUGCUCUUGAAGUUGCUCUCGAUUUGCUACGCUACCCUCGGACAUUGGGUGACCAUCCAAAGGACGGGCAUCCUGUGAUACUAAAGAUCGGAAGGGUUGCAUAGAUGGUUAAACAACGCCAAACAAUGGUUUCUGUUCCCAAGUUGAAGGGACUAUUACUGAUGCAUGAAGUUAGAGGGGAAAAAUGGAAUGUAAAGAGUCAUCCCAAAUGGAUUGGGCCCCCCGUAUGUGGGGAACCCUAAGGGGAUUAGCAUGGUAGUGAACUACACUUUUAAGUUAGUGUGAGAUAAGGGCAAACGAGGAUCAUUGCAUAUUAAGGGGGACGUAUCAUUUUUGUGAACCGUUAUGGCUCCUGUCUACCUCAAGGUCAAUCACUGCUUACGAUCACAGCGAAGUGGGGGGAAUACCGGCGCAAUUGGGGAGGGAGACUAUUAACAGUAGUUAUUUGCAUGAAAUGAUUGCUUAGGACGUCAGACUGGAGAAAGCGAAUGUAGGUCGAUCCUGCCAAACCUAAGAGCAAACCGAGAGUCAAAGAAGCUGUUGAGGCUAGGGAGAGUGGAGUUGGUAAAUAGUAAAUACAUGGAAUCAUUUUUGGCUAACGCCUUGAAACAAUGAAUGAAUCAAUGGAUCUGUUGAACGAAGGCAGCUUUUUAGUUUCAACAGAAGAAAACAUUGCUCUUCUGAAAAGGGUUCCAGCCCCUGUAUGGACAAGAGAGAUUCUUCUUACAAUAUAAUUUUGUACAGCAGUGUAAGAAUAUGCAAUUAUAUUGCAAGGUAGCAAUUGAAAUGUCUUGUUGGGGUUUUUUUGGACAGUCUGGUUGCCGGUUUCACAAUAUUCAACAGACUGGCCAUUGCUUAAAAUCUUGGAAAGCUGCUGUGUGGUAAUUUAAGUUUAGAAAUGAUGCACUCACCAUGGAAAUUCUUCUUCUGAAUAUUUUUUUGGGGAUAUGUUUAUAUUUAUGCGUUAUAUUAUUUAACUUGGAUGCUUUUAUCUUUGUAAUUAAUUGAAGCUUUGGAAUUUGUUUUGGAAACAAGUUGGCGA